UGGCCUCAAGCCAUCCACCCGCCUCGGCCUCCCAAAGUGCCGAGAUUACAGGCGUGAGCCACUGUGCCGGCCCAUAUCUAUCGUUUAUGACACUGAAACUGGUAUUGUGAGUUCUUUUGUUGUAUGGUGUCCUGAGUCAGGGACUGGAGAGGGAGGGUCACAGGACAACAGGAAAUGUGUGUGUGUGUGUGUCUGUGUGUGUCUGUGACCUGUGAUAUGAUCUCACACUGUGUUCUCCUGUUCAGGUGUCUGUUAGAAUCGGGUUGAGGGGAGUGAGGGAGGGUGGAAGUCUGGCGGGGAGCAGCGCUGAUGCUUGUUUUGGACCCUGGCAGGGCUGGAGAGAGAUCUUGGAGAUAAAAGAGACCCGAGAUAGGGGGAGAGUCUGAGAGUGGGGAGGAAGAUGUCUUGAGAAUAGGUAAGCCAGAUUUCAGGCUGGAGAAGGCAGAAUGUGAGUUUGGUCAGAAAUGUCCAUGGGCGCUGGCUAGAGGAGGCAGCAGACAGUUAGGGAGGAAGCUCUGGAGUUUAGGAGGGAGUGGGGAGGCCAGUGGAUUGGGCCUGUCUUGCUGCCUGCUUAUUUAGUGUUUGGUGAUGGGGAAGCAGGAUUUUAUUUUUUCCUUUUUACUGGAAUUUGGCCAGAUUAAGCUCUAGGACUGCCCUGGACAUAUGGCUUCUCCAAACCCUGGGACCAGCCAAAGCUUCUUAUGUGGGGUCACCCCAGCCAGCCCCAUGGCCCUGUUCUUCACAUGGCUACCUUAUCUGGGACCACAUUUCCAAUGGGUCUCUGAUCUAGAAAGCUGGAAUUAUCCAGAGAGGCUCUGGAUCAAGGGGGUAGGGCAUGUCUCUGCCAACAUGGGACUUACUUUCUGCCUCUUUAAGAUGUCAGCUCCACCAGGCCUCACGACUUCUUCUUGUCCACUCCUCUAUCCUGGGCACAUUGUGGACACACGGUAAAUGUCUGCUGAGUGAACGAGCCAAGAUCUGAGGGGAUUCCCUAGGGUGGGAAGAGCCACGCAUCUUCUCUACAGCCCCAAGGGCAGAAGGCUGACCGUCCCACGGAAGCUAACGAGGGAUGGAUUUGACCCUACAUCAGAAAGGGCCUUGACCAGCCAGAGCUCCUGAGAGCAUCCUGUCACCUGAGCUGACCAUGCUGGGGCCAGGGGUGGACCCGGAAUGACCCUGUGGAAAAAUGAUUUGCUUCAAGGCAGAACUGAAGGGCCCCUGAGGGUCCUUGCAGCCACCGUGUCCAGAACCAGGCUUCUGGGUCUCAUUGUGCUCGCCUUCACCAGACACUCCCCACAGGGAAAGUUCAUCUAACCAUGUGCUUAGAGGCUCCAGGGCAGAACUCUCUCCCACCAAGCGACUGUCUCAGAGAUAUCAGUCAAUGUGCAACCCAAAGUAUGCCCACUACGAAACUCUCUCCCACCAGGAAGUUGCCUCAAGAGACAACAGUCCAUCUACGACCUCAAGUAUGCCCGCUACAAGACUCUCUCCCACCUGGAAAGUUUUUGGCCACUUUUACAACCCAUAAAGGUGCCAGCAGUCACCAACUUGACUGCCCAGUAGAUAAGGCACCAAAGAGAGUAAGCAGAUCCCCCACCUGCUUGCUUCCUCUCCUGUGUGCCAUGCAUGCCACUAUGCCAGCCUCCCCCACAUUAAAAGCACCCACUUUCUGCUCCAAAGCCAAAGCAGCACCCUUAAGGCAGAACCCUAUACUUCUUCCCCUAAGUUAGCUUUGGAAUAAAAAGUCUCUUUCUUUAUACCAGACAUUACUCUCAUUAACUGGACUCUGCAAGCAGCAAGUGACCGAACCUGCAUUUCAGUUACAAUUUUGGUGACCGAUAUGGGGAAGUGCUGUCCGCUCUAGCCAGGUGCCAGGUAGCAUUCCUGAACACACGCCUCCUGGUCCCAAACAGAGGAACAUCUUCGCUCAUCUCAGCCCCGGGGUUGGGGGACAGUGGUAUUCUGGACGGCCAUCUCCCUGCCCCUCCUCACAGCACCUGACCUUCUCAGUUCAUCUGGAUAAACCUGCUGUGCUUCCUGUCCAGGGAGUGAGAAGUGAGGCGCUCCUGAAAGGCUGAGCCAAAGUCUAGUAACUGUGGCUGGAAGGCUCGUGAGUUUCUUUUUGGUCACUUUACCUUUUUUUCUUCCUCUCCUUUCUUUCUCGCGCCCCGCUUGUGAAUCCCAGCUCCUAUGCAGAGGCCUGCCAGCUUGGCUUUCUCUCUCUUCUUUUCUGCCUUCUUCACGUCUGCUAUUACUAAGCUGCCUGUGCUGAGAUAAGACUCAUUGUUUGCGGACUAGCUAGAAUGUGAACACUGGAAACAAAUUUGAAACUGAAGGAAAAAUGGGCAAAAGAGGUGUUUUUAAAAACCAAACUGCCAUAGACA